UACGAAGGGGGCUAGCGUUGUUCGGAUUUACUGGGCGUAAAGCGCACGUAGGCGGAUCGUUAAGUCGGGGGUGAAAUCCUGGAGCUCAACUCCAGAACUGCCUUCGAUACUGGCGAUCUCGAGUCCGGAAGAGGUGAGUGGAACUGCGAGUGUAGAGGUGAAAUUCGUAGAUAUUCGCAAGAACACCAGUGGCGAAGGCGGCUCACUGGCCCGGUACUGACGCUGAGGUGCGAAAGCGUGGGGAGCAAACAGG
rnacentral:rRNA from 1 species